GCUGGGUUUGGUGGCGCAUGCCUGUAAUCCCAGCAGUUUGGGAGGCUGAGGCAGGAGGAUCACAAGUUCAAGGCUGGCCUAAGCCACUUAGUGAGACUCUCAGCAAUGAAGCAAGACUCUGUCUCAA
rnacentral:sRNA from 1 species